rnacentral:rRNA from 1 species
UACAGAGGGUGCAAGCGUUAAUCGGAAUUACUGGGCGUAAAGCGUGCGUAGACGGUUAUUUAAGUCAGGUGUGAAAGCCCCGGGCUCAACCUGGGAAUUGCAUUUGAGACUGAAUAGCUAGGGUGCGGAAGAGGGAAGCGGAAUUUCCGGUGUAGCGGUGAAAUGCGUAGAUAUCGGAAGGAACACCAGUGGCGAGAGCGGCUUCCUGGUCCAGCACCGACGUUCAGGCACGAAAGCGUGGGGAGCAAACAGG